rnacentral:lncRNA from 1 species
CGGGGCGGGGCCGGCGCGGGCGGCGCGGGGCGGGGGGCGGAACAUGUCUCCCGCCGCAGGAAGAUGAGGCAGCGACCGCCGCCGCGGGCGUAGCGGGCCGGAGCGGAGCCGGACCCGACGCGGGCGGCGGGCACCGCGGGCACCGCACACCGCUGCCCCAGCUCCCCGGCCGGCCUCGCGGGGCGGUAACGCGGCGGGGGAGGGGCCGCCCACGCGCGCCGCCGCCGCCGCCCACGCGCGACCCUCGGGGGC